AUGACGACAAAUCAGUCCACUGCAUCAGCAGAUUCUCCUGGAUCUUCUGUGGCAAGUAUACUAGCGGUGCAGCGAGAGGUUUCUUCACGUGUUAUGACCCGGCUACAGAAAAGUAUACGGAAUCCUAAAAUUAGGAAAUAUGGAACUAUACCAUAUGGAAUGUUGUGUAUUUCAGGAGAACCAACAUCGUUGAAGAGUGCACUUGAUGAUCCUAAAUGGAAAAAGGCAAUGGAUGAGGAGUAUUCUGCGCUCAUGAGGAAUAAGACUUGGCAUCUUGUACCAAAUCAGAGAGGUAAA
rnacentral:rRNA from 1 species